rnacentral:rRNA from 1 species
AUUGAACGCUGGCGGCAGGCUUAACACAUGCAAGUCGAGCGGGGUGAUGGUGCUUGCACUAUCACUUAGCGGCGGACGGGUGAGUAAUGCUUAGGAAUCUGCCUAUUAGUGGGGGACAACAUCUCGAAAGGGAUGCUAAUACCGCAUACGUCCUACGGGAGAAAGCAGGGGAUCACUUGUGACCUUGCGCUAAUAGAUGAGCCUAAGUCGGAUUAGCUAGUUGGUGGGGUAAAGGCCUACCAAGGCGACGAUCUGUAACGGGUCCGAGAGGAUGAUCCGCCACACUGGGACUGAGACACGGCCCAGACUCCUACGGGAGGCAGCAGUGGGGAAUAUUGGACAAUGGGGGGAACCCUAAUCCAGCCAUGCCGCGUGUGUGAAGAAGGCCCUAUGGUUGUAAAGCACUUUAAGCGAGGAGGAGGCUCUUUUGGUUAAUACCCAAGAUGAGUGGACGUUACUCGCAGAAUAAGCACCGGCUAACUCUGUGCCAGCCGCCGCGGUAA